rnacentral:tRNA from 1 species
CCAUCGGCGGUUCAGUGGUAGAAUGCUCGCCUGCCACGCGGCCGGCCCGGGUUCGAUUCCCGGCCGAUGCA